UCUCUAGCACAUAUCACUUAUUUUUUGAAUUCAUUAAUGUAUCAUACUUUAAUCACCCAUACCCCGCUACCGUCCACUGUCUAGUAUUCCAGCACAUUAUGUUACCAAAACUGACUUGUUUAUUUUAGGUCGGCAACCCUGGAGUAACCUGGUCGUCAAUCCAUGAUAGGAACCGGAUUAACAAUUGAUCCAAAAAUAUGAAUGCAUUGAUGAAGGACAAGACUAUACUUGUAUGUACUGGAAAAUUCCCACUUAAUCCAGCCACUUUUGACAUAAGGAGAACUAUAAGUCCAAACGUUUUCUGUUCAUGUUGAAAAACGAGAUUUCUAUAAUAAAAAAUAUACAGGGUGCCGCAUCCAAGUCUGGAUAUAGGGAAUUAACAUGCGAAUUGGUUUUUAUUUUAUAAUAUCUCCCCAGAUCACUUUAAAGCUAUUAUUGAGUGAUGGCUUUGUGGAGGUCGAAGAGGGCUAUCGGCCAGUAUUUUUUUCAAAUCGUUGCAUCGCGCUCAUUCACUGUAAAAAGGUUUUAAAAAUCGUAUUUUGAAAUUCGCGCCCGAUCCGAAUUGUCGCGAAGUGUUCCGUCGUACUGUCGAAGUUCGGCGAUCGCGUAUUUUCAUUACCCAUGCAAAAUUCAAAUGUCAAAGUGAAAUUAGAAAUUAUUCUCAUCAGAAAUCAACGAACAAGUCAAACUGAAUUAUUUUAUCCAGUGUGAUGAUUAUUGUAGGACAAAUUAAACGGAAUAAAUGCACAAAUUGAUCCAUUCAUUCGUCAUAGUGCGCGACCCCGUCAAACGAGCCAUCUCGAACUACAAUCAGACCGUAUCCAAAAAGCCCAAGAUGAAGACUUCAAGACUUCGAGCAGCUGGUCUUCCUCAAAACCCCAUCAAAGCCCAUCGGCAGCAUUGCGACAUUUUCUGGGAGCCCUCAAGCUAGGAAUGUACUCGGGCUGCCUCACUCAGUAAUCACUGAACGACUCAAAUUGAAUUAUUUUAUCCAAUAUGACGAUUAUUGUUAUGCUAUGUUCUACUGCGAUUAGAUGAAAAAGCGGGGGCCUGCAUGUUCUUCAACAGUUAAUUUAAUUAGUAGGUAAUUUGGAUAAAUUUCACCCUUUUUUUUGGAAUCACUAAAGAUUGGAAGUCAAUUGAUUUUACAUUCGUUAAGCAGCGAUGGAUUUUUGCCUCCAGGAAGCAUCUUCAUUACAGGAAAUUUUUGAGAGAGAAAUGUAGAACAUUGACUCAUCAACAUUUUAAAGUAUUUUUCUCUAUUACGAAUGUGUUUUGGGAUUCAGAAACUUUUGUAUUACUGUUUUAUUUGUUUAUUGUGUUAACAACAACAAAAAUAAAAAUAAUAUUUCGCAAAAUAAAGUUACAUUUAUUUUCAAAGGUGAUAAAAAUUACAUAAAAUCAGGUGGGCACGACGUUUUCUAGGGGUCUUAAACAGAUGAGAUAGAAGAAUUUCAAAAAGCAUCAUGACAAAAAAUUGAAGCCUGGGACUACUUCUCACAUAUAGAGUUUUACGAAGGAACGCUUGAGAGAAUCUAGGCUGAUGGAGAGUUUUUGAGGAAAAUUUGUUUUACUGACGUUCAUUUGGUCUUAAGGGAAGUUAUAAUCGUCAGAACGAUCAAAUUUGAGCAUUACACAACCGUCACGUGGUCCAUGACCUUCGUUAUCAAUGGCGUGCAAUUACCAGUGUAUGACUGGGGCUUCUAGGACAUCAUGUCAUUGCACCUUUUUUCAUCGAAUCCGGAUUGAAUGCUCAGAAGUAGGAUAAUAUGCUAGCUCAGCAAAUACUUCCUGGGACUCGAAGGGUGCGGCAUCUGCAGCAGGUCUUUUACAUCCAGGACCAAAUCUCCAGCCAUACAGUUCGCAUAAAUGUUGUUUAUUUGAACCAGUAUUGUUCCGCAAUGUUGGAAUGGAAAAUUUGCACCGCCCCAUUGGCCUGUGCAAUCGCCGGAUCUAAACCCCUGAGAAUUUUUUCUUUGGAGAUUUCUUCACGACCAUCUGCAUUCAGACAAGCUAUACAAACAGAGAAGCGCUGAAACAAGCAAUCCAGCAAUAUUGUCUUCAGAUUUCAACUAAAAUGCUGAUCAACACACGUAGGAGUUUUGAAGAUUGGCUUACUUACUGUACAGCUGGUGAGAGCAGUCUUUU